rnacentral:rRNA from 1 species
AUGGCCGGCAGAGGUCAAAGAGUCAAAGCUCAAAAAUCACGUGGAGUGGAGAAGCAGAGCAACGUUAGUUCAAGGGAAGAGGUUGUUGGAAUGGCGUCCCCUAACACCGGCUCGUCACCAUCACCCGCAGAAGAGAGGUCAGCUGUGAAUAUGUCCGCAAUACAACAAGCUGAUGCUACUGAAAGUGAGGUAGUGAAUGCUGGUACACAAUCUGGUUCUAAGAGAAAACGUAGAUCUGUGGUUUGGAAUGAUUUUGAGGAAGUAAUUGUUGAUGGGAAAUUGAAAGCUGAAUGUGUGUUCUGUCACAAGAAACUUAGUGGGGAACAGUCUCAUGGGACCUCACAUUUAAGGUCUCAUUUGGAAACAUGUGAUGCUAAGAAAUCCAAAGAUUCAAAACAACAAAAAUUGAGGUUGACAAAAGGUGAUGCUGGGAAAGUCAAUUUAGAAAACUAUGUAUUCGACCAAGAUGUUGCUAGGAAAGAACUUGCUAUCAUGAUAUGUGUGCAUGAGUACCCUCUGUCCAUUGUUGAUCAUGCUGGUUUCAGAUCUUUUUGUGCAUCUUUACAACCUAUGUUCAAGAUGGUCAGUAGAAAUACAAUUAAGAAUGAUAUAAUUGGUCUCCAUCAAACACAAAAGAACGCCAUGAUCCAGUAUUUCGCAAAAUUCAACCAUCGAGUGGCUGUGACUAGUGACUUGUGGACUGCUGGACAUCAAAAGAAAGGCUAUAUGGUUGUUACUGCACAUUUCAUUGAUGAAGACUAG